UGGUUACCUCCACCAGGAAACCAUGUGAAAAUCAAUGUUGACGCGGCAGUCUUUAGGCAUGGCGGGUUUGGAACCGUUGGAGCAGUAUGUAGAGACCAAGGAGGCUCCUUCGUGGGCGCAUCUACUCUUUUCUUUCCGCGCCUGGAUGAUCCGGCUACCCUAAAGGUGUUGGUUAUGAGGGAAGUCAUGGCUCUUGCUGAGGAUUUGCAUGUACAACACAUCUUCAUUGCCUCAGACUGUAAAGUAAUCAUGGAGGAAAUCAAGAAGGGGAGCUCGGCCACAUAUGGAGCUGUCAUUACAGAAAUUCAAGACCGUUCUUUAGUUUUCUCUCUAGUAUUUUUAGUCAUAAGUUCAGAACCUCGAAUGUGGAGGCUCACAAUCUCGCAAAGCAUGGUCUUAGUUUAG
rnacentral:rRNA from 1 species